GUAGAAGUGAUGCAAGCAGUGAAUGGGAAAUCAGGAAAAUUUCCAUUAACCUCUGCCUAAGUCCUUUAGGGCUCUGUCUCUGUUUUGUUCCUCUUAAGGCUGUCACCUCUAUGCCCAACGAUUAUCUCAUUGGUUCCAGGACAUUGUUACCAUUUAUCUCCACUGGACAUCUAUUUUCUUUCCAAAAGGUCCCAAUUUGGGCCCUGACUCUGCUGGAGAGAAGAGAAAGACCGAGAAGCAGCCUACCCUACCUGUAG
rnacentral:lncRNA from 1 species